rnacentral:rRNA from 1 species
GACGAACGCUGGCGGCGCGCUUAACACAUGCAAGUCGAACGGAAAGGCCCUGCUUUUGUGGGGUGCUCGAGUGGCGAACGGGUGAGUAACACGUGAGUAACCUGCCCUUGACUUUGGGAUAACUUCAGGAAACUGGGGCUAAUACCGGAUAGGAGCUCCUGCUGCAUGGUGGGGGUUGGAAAGUUUCGGCGGUUGGGGAUGGACUCGCGGCUUAUCAGCUUGUUGGGGGGGUAGUGGCUUACCAAGGCUUUGACGGGUAGCCGGCAUGAGAGGGUGACCGGCCACAUUGCGACUGAGAUACGGACCAGACUCCUACGGGAGGCAGCAGUGGAGAAUAUUGCGCAAUGGGCGGAAGCCUGAUGCAGCAACGCCGCGUGCGGGAUGACGGCCUUCGGGUUGUAAACCGCUUUCGCCUGUGACGAAGCGUGAGUGACGGUAAUGGGUAAAGAAGCACCGGCUAACUACGUG